GACGAACGCUGGCGGCGUGCUUAACACAUGCAAGUCGAACGGAAAGGCCCUGCGUUUGUGGGGUGCUCGAGUGGCGAACGGGUGAGUAACACGUGAGUAACCUGCCCUUGACUUUGGGAUAACUUCAGGAAACUGGGGCUAAUACCGGAUAGCAGCUCCCGCUGCAUGGAGGGGGUUGGAAAGUUUCGGCGGUUGGGGUUGGACGCGCGGCUUAUCAGCUUGUUGGUGGGGUAGUGGCUUACCAAGGCUUUGACGGGUAGCCGGCCUGGGAGGGUGACCGGCCACAUUGGGACUGCGAUACGGCCCAGACUCCUACGGGAGGCAGCAGUGGGGAAUAUUGCACAAUGGGCGGAAGCCUGAUGCAGCAACGCCGCGUUCGGGAUGACGGCCUUCGGGUUGUAAACCGCUUUCGCCUGUGACCAAGCGUGAGUGACGGUAAUGGGUAAAGAAGCACCGGCUAACUACGUG
rnacentral:rRNA from 1 species